rnacentral:rRNA from 1 species
UCCUUCGGGAUGAGUAGAGUGGCGGACGGGUGACUCACGCGUAGGAAUCUGUCCUGUAGUGGGGGAUAACGUUUCGAAAGGAACGCUAAUACCGCAUACGCCCCAAGGGGGAAAGCGGGGGAUCUUCGGACCUCGUGCUAUAGGAUGAGCCUGCGUCGGAUUAGCUAGUUGGUGAGGUAAAGGUUCACCAAGGCGACGAUCCGUACUGGUCUGAUAGGAUAUUCACCCCCACCGGAACUAGACACGGUCGGGAUUCUACGGUAGGAUGCAUUGGGAAUUUUUCCCAUUGGGU